rnacentral:rRNA from 1 species
UUAAGAAAGCAAGAGCGCACGGUGGAUGCCUAGGCACUAAUAGGCGAAGAAGGACGCGACUAACAGCGAAAUGCUACGGGGAGCAGUAAGUAGGCAAAGAUCCGUAGGUAUCCGAAUGGGGAAACCCACUAGUUAGAAGAGCUAGUAUUGAAUAAUGAAUAGAUAGUUAUUCAAGGCGAACCCGGGGAACUGAAACAUCUAAGUACCCGGAGGAAAAGAGAACAAAAGUAAUUCCCUAAGUAGAGGCGAUUGAAAGGGGAGGAGCCCAGCACCAUGAAGAGUUAGAAAAUCUUUUUAUAGUAGAAUUGUAUUGGAAAAGCAAGACAAAGAAGGUGAAAUCCCUGUAUACGAAAUAAAGAGAUCUCGGUGUCGGAGUAGGGCGGAGCACGAGGAAUUCUGUCUGAAUAAGUGAGGACCAUCUCAUAAGGCUAAAUACUCAUUAGUGACCGAUAGUGAACCAGUACUGUGAAGGAAAGGUGAAAAGAACCCCUGGCGGGGAGUGAAAAGAACCUGAAACCGUGUGCUUACAAACAGUUAGAGCCCGUCAAAGGGUGAUAGCGUGCCUUUUGUAGAAUGAGCCGGCGAGUUACGUUAAUGUGCGAGGUUAAGUUUUAAGGGACGGAGCCGAAGCGAAAGCGAGUCUGAAGAGGGCGAAAUAGUAGAUUGACGUAUACCCGAAACCGGGUGAUCUAGCCAUGAGCAGGUUGAAGCUUGGGUAAAACCAGGUGGAGGACCGAACCAGGGUCUGUUGAAAAAGACUUGGAUGACUUGUGGCUAGGGGUGAAAUUCCAAUCGAACCCGGAGAUAGCUGGUUCUCCCCGAAAUAGCUUUAGGGCUAGCGUUAUGGAGAAGAGUUAUACGAAGGUAGAGCACUGAAUGGGUGAGGGCCUCAUCUCGAGGUACUGAUCUCAAUCAAACUCCGAAUGUCGUAUAAUAUACAUAGCAGUAAGACUAUGGGUGAUAAGGUUCAUAGUCAAAAGGGAAACAGCCCAGACCGCCAGUUAAGGUCCCAAAAUUAUGCUAAGUGGGAAAGGAGGUGGAGUCGCAUAGACAACUAGGAGGUUGGCUUAGAAGCAGCCAUCCUUUAAAGAGUGCGUAAUAGCUCACUAGUCGAGUGAUUCUGCGCCGAAAAUGUAUCGGGGCUAAGCAUAAUACCGAAGCUGCGGGAUUAGACAAAGAGUCUAAUCGGUAGGGGAGCGUACUAAACGCGAAGAAGGUUGACCGGAAGGGCAGCUGGAGAGUUUAGCAGUGAGAAUGCCGGUGUGAGUAGCGAUAAGAUGGGUGAGAAUCCCAUCCGUCGGAAGCCUAAGGGUUCCAGGGGUAAGGCUCGUCCGCCCUGGGUAAGUCGGGACCUAAGGUGAGGCCGAAAGGCGUAGCCGAUGGAUAUCAGGUUGAUAAUCCUGGACCACCGUAGAGCUGAAGGAGUGACGGAGGAGGGAAGUUAGGAUGGACUGGUGGAAUAGUCUAAUGAAGCACAAAGAGGGAUACGUAGGAAAAGCCGCGUAUUGAAACCUUGAAGUGUAAACCGCAAGGCCUAAUGGACCACACUUCCAAGAAAAGCUUCUAGGAGUACUUUAUGGUGCCCGUACCGUAAACGGACACACGUAGGCGAGGAGAGAAUCCAAAGACGCGCGAGAUAAUUCUUGUUAAGGAACUCUGCAAAAUGACCCUGUAACUUCGGGAUAAAGGGGACUCUAGAGAUAGAGGCGCAGAAAAUAGGCCCAAGCGACUGUUUAACAAAAACAUAGGUUUCUGCUAAAGCGAAAGCUGAUGUAUAGGAGCUGACGCCUGCCCAGUGCUGGAAGGUUAAGAGGAGAUGUAAGUCGCAAGGCAAAGCAUUGAAUUGAAGCCCCAGUAAACGGCGGCCGUAACUAUAACGGUCCUAAGGUAGCGAAAUUCCUUGUCAGGUAAGUUCUGACCCGCACGAAAGGCGUAACGAUUUGGGCGCUGUCUCAACAAGAAACUCGGUGAAAUCAUAGUACCUGUGAAGAUGCAGGUUACCCGCGAUCAGACGGAAAGACCCCAUGGAGCUUCACUGCAGCUUAAUAUUGAUAUUGGGUGUGUGAUGUACAGGAUAGGUGGGAGACGAAGAAGCGAGUACGCUAGUAUUCGUGGAGUCAACGUUGGGAUACCACCCUUCAUACAUUUAGUAUCUAACUAGUAUCCAUAAUCUGGGUAUAGAACAGUGUUAGGUGGGCAGUUUGACUGGGGCGGUCGCCUCCCAAAGAGUA